GUGAGAUUCUACCACUGACACCCAUUAAAUUGCGUUGUCAUGGUACAAUCUUGCAG
rnacentral:pre_miRNA from 1 species